CCUACGAGUGGCAGCAGUGAGGAAUAUUGGUCAAUGGACGAGAGUCUGAACCAGCCAAGUAGCGUGAAGGAUGACUGCCCUAUGGGUUGUAAACUUCUUUUAUAUGGGAAUAAAAUGUUCCACGUGUGGGAUUUUGUAUGUACCAUAUGAAUAAGGAUCGGCUAACUCCGUGCCAGCAGCCUCGGUAAUACGGAGGCACCGAGCGUUAUCCGGAUUUAUUGGGUUUAAAGGGAGCGUAGGUGGAGUUGUAAGUCAGUUGUGAAAGUUUGCGGCUCAACAGUAAAAUUGCCGUUGAAACUGGCAGUCUUGAGUACAGGAGAGGUGGGCGGAAGUCGUGGUGUAGCGGUGAAAUGCUUAGAUAUCACGAAGAACUCCGAUUGCGAAGGCAGCUCACUGGACUGCAACUGACACUGAGGCUCGAAAGUGUGGGUAUCAAACAGGAUUAGAUACCCGUGUAGUC
rnacentral:rRNA from 1 species